rfam:Salmo salar isolate Sally breed double haploid chromosome ssa17, whole genome shotgun sequence.
UGCAUUCACUACUGUAAGUCGCUCUGGAUAAGAGCGUCUGCUAAAUGGGGCUAC